AGAGGCAUGGCUCAUUGGCACAGCAGCUGCUUUUCAUCCAGAAGGUCCCAGAUUCAACCCCUGGCACCUUUA